UAAAAGUUUGCUGCGAGUUUUUCAUUUUUUCCCCUCAAAGGCUGGUCAUAAUCUAUAAAUUAUUGAUCAUUGUGAUCUGCAUCUAUUAUGAAAUGAUUACAAAGUUAAGGGAGGUGCACCUGUGGUUCAUAAAUUCUCAGGUUAAAUUUUAGGGAUGGCAAGCAUGUUGAUCUUCCAAAAUGCCCCAGCUCCAAGUUUCACCAACAGCGUAUCAAGAUCAAAGCUUCGCCAACAGCACAUCAGGUACCUCGGACCUGUAUGUGUAUCCUCUUCUUUUUGUUACCUGAUUUUGUUCCAUUUAGGAAUAAAUGUGAUUGGACUACUAUUUCUAUUAUGGAAAUCAUUACUCACUUUAUAUCAUGAUUCAUCUUUCUGCAAUAAUCAGCAAGAGAGGGAACGCUAUGAAUAAGUUGUCAAGGAAAAAAAAGUGCAUCACUGGCCUCGAAUUUUUCUAGAUGCAAACAACAGAUUGCUAGGGGCAAAACGAAAAUUUGUGACGAGUGCUUCUCAGAAGCUCUAUGCUGGUGACGAUUUUAUACUCCCUCCGUCCCCUCCAAUUCUUAUCGUUUGGAGGGGACUGCUCGACACGCAUUUUAAGGCUCAUGAAAAAUAUGGUUCCAUAACUUAUUUUUAAAAUUUUCUUUUUCCGAAUAAAAGUUUAAUGUUUAAAUUUUUAUUCAGAAAAAGAAAAUUUAAAAAACAUGUUAUGAAACUAUAUUAUUUAUGAGCCUUAAGAUGCGUGCCGAGUACUUCAUUUCAAAUGAUAAGAAUUGGAUGGGACAGAGGGAGUAAUAGUUAUAGUUGUCCUAAAUAUUUCAAUAUCAUCAGUAUCGGGAGAACUGCUAACUUAAUAUAAUGAUACACGAAACUCCGGAUAUUUCGAGUUUGAAAAGUUGCCAUCCUAUUCCUUGUUACUAAUGAUUUAAACAUAAGUUGACAUGUUUUACAAAUAAAUGAAAAGAAGAGGAUAACAACAUGCACACCUGCAUAUAGGUUCCACUAAAUUUCCCAAGCAAUUAUAGAACAUACAUAAUGCCCUGGAUCACUAUAAGUUCCAUGAUUACCAAAACUGCAAAUAAUAAUAAUAAUAAUAUUUGCAAUAAAUCUUAUUAUAACGAAAAAUUAAUAUUUUAUUACCAAAUUUCAAUAAUUUCAGGUAUUUUUCUCUAAACUUCAGUCUCUGAAAACUCUGAAAAUAUAAAACAAAAAUAUUCAUCACCCACUUCGUUUCAAAACUCUGUCGUUUUCAAGGUGCGCAAUUUUGGAUUUACGUUUUUAGAGCUGAUUCCUUGCUGGUAUAUUUGUAUCAUAACUUGCAUCUGUAUUAUGAAGAGUGGUGUAAAGCUGAUGCUGGCCAACCAUUUUUUUACUGGUUACUUUUUCUUUUUCAGCUGAGUUGCAGAUUUUGAGCUUUGUGGCUUUCGGAUUCCUAGAUAAAGAUGACACCAAUGCAUUUCCUAUAAAAGUUUGCUGCGAGUUUUUCAUUUUUUCCCCUCAAAGGCUGGUCAUAAUCUAUAAAUUAUUGAUCAUUGUGAUCUGCAUCUAUUAUGAAAUGAUUACAAAGUUAAGGGAGGUGCACCUGUGGUUCAUAAAUUCUCAGGUUAAAUUUUAGGGAUGGCAAGCAUGUUGAUCUUCCAAAAUGCCCCAGCUCCAAGUUUCACCAACAGCGUAUCAAGAUCAAAGCUUCGCCAACAGCACAUCAG
rnacentral:lncRNA from 1 species